GGGAGACUUGAGGUCACAAUGUUGCUUUUUAAAGAUAGCCCUCUGGCUGGUGAAUGAUGGUGCCAUGGCAAGAGUGGGCACAACAAACCAUUUAGAAGGCUCUUGCAGGGGCCCAGGGUGCAGAGGAUGGAGGCUGGGACUGGAAAACCCCUUAAGGUGCUUCCAUCUCACUGGAAAGAGAAAAAUGACAUAUGUGAAGCAGUGACUAUGGUGAAACGUGGCAAAGCUACAAUUAUUCAAGAUGACAGCAGGAAGAAAGGAGCCAGCUCUGUGCCUGGAAUUUCAUAUUUAUUAUCAUAUUGAAUUCUCCUGCAACUCCAUGAGAAAAGAUAAAUAAUAUCCUCUUUUUACCAGCACCACUUAAUACAGUAUCACAUAAAUAUGUCACAUAAAUACAAAUUGGCAGUCAUAUGGAUAAGGCAUUGUAGUGACAUUAUUUUAAGUUGAAUUUCGAUAUUUC
rnacentral:lncRNA from 10 species